rnacentral:rRNA from 1 species
UGGGGAAUCUUGCACAAUGGGGGAAACCCUGAUGCAGCGACGCCGCGUGAGCGAUGAAGGUUUUCGAAUCGUAAAGCUCUGUCCUAUGGGAAGAUAAUGACGGUACCAUGGGAGGAAGCCCCGGCUAACUACGUGCCAGCAGCCGCGGUAAUACGUAGGGGGCGAGCGUUGUCCGGAAUUACUGGGCGUAAAGGGUUCGCAGGCGGCAUGGCAAGUCCGAUGUAAAAGGCGAAGGCUCAACCUUCGUAAGCAUCGGAAACUGUCAAGCUUGAGUGAAGGAGAGGCAAGUGGAAUUCCUAGUGUAGCGGUGGAAUGCGUAGAUAUUAGGAGGAAUACCGGUGGCGAAGGCGACUUGCUGGACUUCAACUGACGCUGAGGAACUAAAGCGUGGGUAGCAAACAGG